GAUAAUACCUUACUACUUGGAUAACCGUGGUAAUUCUAGAGCUAAUACAUGCUAAAAAUCCCGACUUCGGAAGGGUUGUAUUUAUUAGAUUAAAAACCAAUGCCCUUCGGGGCUCUCUGGUGAAUCAUGAUAACUAGUCGAAUCGACAGGCCUUGUGCCGGCGAUGGCUCAUUCAAAUUUCUUCCCUAUCAACUUUCGAUGUUUGGGUAUUGGCCAAACAUGGUGGCAACGGGUAACGGAGGGUUAGGGCUCGACCCCGGAGAAGGAGCCUGAGAAACGGCUACUACAUCCAAGGAAGGCAGCAGGCGCGCAAAUUACCCAAUCCCGACACGGGGAGGUAGUGACAAUAAAUACUGAUACAGGGCUCUUUUGGGUCUUGUAAUCGGAAUGAGUACAAUUUAAAUCCCUUAACGAGGAACAAUUGGAGGGCAAGUCUGGUGCCAGCAGCCGCGGUAAUUCCAGCUCCAAUAGCGUAUAUUAAAGUUGUUGUGGUUAAAAAGCUCGUAGUUGAACCUUGGGCCUGGCUGGCCGGUCCGCCUCACCGCGUGCACUGGUCCGGCCGGGCCUUUCCCUCUGCGGAACCCCAUGCCCUUCACUGGGCGUGGCGGGGAAACAGGACUUUUACUUUGAAAAAAUUAGAGUGCUCAAGGCAGGCCUAUGCUCGAAUACAUUAGCAUGGAAUAAUGAAAUAGGACGUUGCGGUUCUAUUUUGUUGGUUUCUAGGACCGCCGUAAUGAUUAAUAGGGACAGUCGGGGGCAUCAGUAUUCAAUUGUCAGAGGUGAAAUUCUUGGAUUUAUUGAAGACUAACUACUGCGAAAGCAUUUGCCAAGGAUGUUUUCAUUAAUCAGGAACGAAAGUUAGGGGAUCGAAGACGAUCAGAUACCGUCGUAGUCUUAACCAUAAACUAUGCCGACUAGGGAUCGGACGAUGUUAUAUUUUUUGACGCGUUCGGCACCUUACGAGAAAUCAAAGUGC
rnacentral:rRNA from 4 species